AACAAACAUGGUGUAAAUCUCUUUAGCUCUACUUUUUUUAAUGGAAACCUCUCGAACUCUUAUUUACACCAAAAAUGCUUUCGUAAAUUGCGAGUGCAAAACCUCUUUUCCAAUGAGAGUCGCUUUCCCUUCUCAAACCGGUUUAUCUUCGAGCUUUUUCAAAACCCUAACUAGAAUCUUCAUGUUUCCAGCAACUUUUCUCGGCUAGAUCUUUGAUUCCACCGGCCCUUCAAGUUCGUCUAGGUUUUGUUUACUAUAUUGUUGUGAUACCCUCUCCUAUAUCCAUGAGAUCUCUAUUCUAAUCAAGGUUUCUGCUGCCAUGCUGUGUUUGGUCUCAAUAGAGGAGGUUUCUACUUGAACUUCUUAAUUCUAUAACUCUAUCAAAAGAAGACUGAUGAAAAUGCAUGAGCAUUACUCAAAGAAGAUUCAAUUUAGUUACAUUGGGGGCUUCUCAUACCAAAUGAUGCUAGACGAAAUUUAUAUAGCCAGGGGUGAACAAACUGAUGAGGAAUUGAUUUCUUACAGCCAAGUUGAGAUUUAGGCCACUUAGAUGAUUACUUGCUAUGGAUUUCCUGUUGCUAAACGAUCAAGAAUAGGAAUUUUGACAUCGUCAUUCAAGACAAAGCUCAUUGCCAUAAUUCCUCAGCAGGCAGCAAUAAUUCAUCUACACUGAGUUUCUCCAAGACAUUGGAUUCCAAGGAACCCUAUGGGUAUUUUCUUAAGUUUACUUUAUCACAACAUAGUGCAGCAAAUUCUUAAUUUUGCUCUAUGGGCCGGUGGAAUCUCACCUUUUAUUUGACUACUGCUUUAGCUGUUUAUUUGUUUCGUUCAAGUUGUAAUUUUGCUUUUUAUAGUUGUCUUAGUGUGAUAGAUCUUAAAUUGUGUUGUUUAAGCUAGAUUUUUCCUUUUGGGCUAGCUUUUCCUUUUGUGUAUUAGCGCUAGCCAAGGAUUUCUUUCUAUAGUAUUAGGUCGUUGUUAGUACAAUCUUAGGGUAAUUUUCUUGCUCUAUCUCUGAAUUGUAAAGUUAUUUAGAUACUCACAUCUAAAUAGCUCCACAAACAAGGAUUUCAUUUUUCCGCAUGUCA